rnacentral:piRNA from 1 species
UGAAUGACAGACAGCCAUGGCCAGACA